AGGGCGGAGCCAGAGAGCAGUGAUUGGUCAGACCAUAGAUAUCUAUAGAAGACAGCGUGCUAGCGUAUCUAGUCUAUUUAUGUCUAUUGUCGGCACGUCUGGUAGCAUCUCUGGUUGCUGUUGAUCUUGUUUUUGGAGUAAAACACGGUGGAAGCUGAAUUAGUGAGGAUGACUCCUGCUCCUGUCAUCUCUAAGCUCCUCACACAUCUUUACCUGCACAUGAGGAAAAUCACUCCUGUAGAAUGCAGAUGUUCAGAGGGAGAUGAUGCCACAUCUGGUCCAGCUGAUGGAAGGUCUUGAAGUUCUCUGACUGGCCUCGACUGAAGAUGGUCGUCUCACUGGAUUUAAGGUUCAGAUGCUCAGUAACAAACUCCACCAAUGAGCCAACAGGGAAGCUUUAGGUUUAUUAAAUGUUGCUAUGAAGGUAUCGCUGUUUUUCUUUGUGAAUGCAAUGUGCUCCAACUGAAAUUUGAAUUAGAACUUAGAAGUAAAUCCUUCCAUCUGAGAGGAUUUAGUUGCAUUAAUAACCUCAUAACAUUCUAAUUUUUAUUCCAGUCUUGGUUGGAAAUAGAAUCUCUGUAUUGAUUCAGGUAAAAACUGAACUUCACAGCAUGUUGGAGCAAAACAACCAGAUGAAAACUGUGAUGGUGUUGGAUUGUCAGACCGUAAUGUUGCGGCUCAAAGCAGCUUUUCUAUCUCAGUUCAUUCUGAGAUUCAGCUAUGAAUCAACACAGCAGAUGGUGAUCCAUGCUGUGGAAGUGUCACAUCUCCUGAUUUAAUGGAGCUGCUUUGCACUUUUUACACUGUUUAUUCACCAACACUUUAUUUAAUAAAAGUCCCAUCUAGUUUUUAUGAGGAAUGUGAUGUUUUAAUUUCUCUGUGAAUAACUGCAGUCUAAUGCAACAGCUGGAGUUGUAACAUCUGUCCUGAUAUUGAUCAUGAAGUAUUGAUCAGAAUACUUAUGGUCAGCAGUCAUCCCUGAAGUUUUACAUUGAAAUCUUUACUUGUGUUGUGAACUUUAGUAAGAAGCAGAAACUUUAGCGUUGCCAUGGACACAUGAGUGUUAAAUUCUGUCCAAAAUUUAUGACUCUGCACUACAAUAUUAUUUAUUAUUUAAAUGUACAUCAUUAUUACAAUAUUUAGGGUCAGACCCUACAGUAUUGAGAUUAAGAAAUCAAAUAUUCUUUAAAAUGUAAUUACACUGAACUCAUUUGGAUAUAUUUAAGUGAGACUACAGUAUUGUAGUAAAUCUAUCUAAAUCAAAAUUUUAAUAAUUUUCAUGCCAAACAUUUACUGGACUGAUUUAAACAUUAAAAGCACUCCUUUCUAAUCCUCUGCUGUACGUUCAAACCUGAGGCCUUAAAUCAAAACACAAGUAUCUGAUUGAAGGAACUUCUGCAGAGUCCUGGUUCCAGAACAUGAUGAUAGAAUUAUAGACAAACUUUAACAAAAGCUGCCUGAGAGUUUACAGGUUUUUAUGUUGGAUUUCUUCAGUAAUUUAAUGAGAGUUAUCAGCAAAAAUCAAGUGUUCAUUUGAUGAACUUCAUUUCCUAAAACAUCCAGAAUUGGAGCUCAUAUCUUUGGCAGCUGUAAAGUUUCUGCUCCUUCAAAGUUCACAACACAAUGAAUGAAUUCCUAAAACACUCUCAAUGCUGGAGAGCGUUUGAUGCUGAAGCAGUGACCAGUUUUUCUGUUUCUUCUCUGGAGAUGCACAAUGAGGGACGUCUGCAGUGACUGAGAAAGAGUCUCACCACAUCCUGACAUGAGGAAAAAGACUUUAUUGAAGACUACAAUGAGAAAAACUAUCAGACAGCAGACGGCUGCAUUCAAGGUGAGCUCUGAACAUUUGAUCUGGAACAGGAAUUCAAUAACGGCAGCAUGAGCUUCAUUUCAGUCUGUAGCUGCUGAAUUCAUGGAUGAAUCAUCUGGCACUAGAGAGGAAGACCAUCAAACAUCCACAUCAGCUGAUGGAGGUCCAAGAGUCUCACCAAACAAACAACCUACAGAGUGAAGACCUCGAAUCUGAUUGGACGGCCUUCUAUUCAGACACGUGUGAACAAAUGCCUCUAAGUUGAUUUGUUUUCUAAAAUAAAUCUAGUUUGAGUCCUAAUCUAUGCCUGUGUUUGCUUCUUUACACCGCUGUUAACAGUUUAGGCUGUUAGAUUGUUCCAGAUAAGACAAGUACAAGAUUCUUCAGAGCCGUUCUACCACGAGCCUGACAGGAAGAACUCCCAACAGCUACUGAAUGUUCCUGUGGAUUUUGGAUGGAAUACUCGGUUAAACCAACAUUUUAGGUGCAUGUCCAAGGAUUUUUGGUGGAAUGUUCCUUUAAGGUGGAUGUUUGAGGACCUUGUAGGUGGAAUAGUUCCUGA
ensembl:lncRNA